rnacentral:tRNA from 1 species
GCCUCAGUAGCAUAGUGGUUAGCGCACAAGCCCCGGUUAGGUGUGAUACGCGGGUUCGAAUCCCGCCUUUGCCG